rnacentral:RNase_P_RNA from 1 species
GCGGAGGGUCGGAUGGCCGCGAGCCCGUAAAGGUUCGAGGAAAGUCCGGACUCCCUGAAGCAACGGUGCCGGGUAACGCCCGGGCGGAGCAAUCCGACGGAAAGCGCCACAGAAAACAGACCGCCUUCGGGCUGCCCGGGGUCACCCCGGGUGUGCAGCGGAGGUCAGGGUGAAACGGUGGGGUAAGAGCCCACCGCGCCGCUGGCAACAGCGGCGGCAUGGCAAGCCCCACCGGGAGCAAUGCCAAAUAGGGAUCUCGCGGGCCUGUCCCAGGGCCGCUUCAGCCCGAGAGAUCCGGGUUGGCAGCUAAAGCCGGCGGGCAAUCGCCGGUAUAGAGGAAUGGUCAUCAAGGGCGGCAACGCCUGAACAAAAUCCGGCUUACAGACCCUCCGCGCAU